rnacentral:tRNA from 1 species
GAGGGUAUAGCUCAGUGGUAGAGCAUGUGCCUAGCAUGCAUGAGGUCCUGGGUUCAAUUCCCAGUACCUCCA